UACGGAAGGUGCAAGCGUUAAUCGUAAUCACUGGGCGUAAAGCGCACGUAGGCCGUCUCCUAAGUCGGGCGUGAAAGCCCUCGGCUCAACCGAGGAACUGCGCUCGAUACUGGGAGACUUGAGUUCUGGAGGGGGUGGCGGAAUUCCCGGUGUAGGAGUGAAAUCCGUAGAUAUCGGGAGGAACACCAGUGGCGAAGGCGGCCACCUGGACAGAUACUGACGCUGAGGUGCGAAAGCGUGGGGAGCAAACAGG
rnacentral:rRNA from 1 species